GACUGUGAAAAUAUGUAAAUAGAAAACUACAAACUUCAAUGUUGCAUGGAUGACGUCUCACUGAAGCUACGAUGUCUGUUUGAUACGGACAUAUA